rnacentral:rRNA from 1 species
CACGUAGGGUGCGAGCGUUGUCCGGAAUUAUUGGGCGUAAGAGCUCGUAGGCGGUGUGUCGCGUCGGCCGUGAAAACCUGCAGCUUAACUGUGGGCGUGCGGUCGAUACGGGCAGACUGGAGUACUGCAGGGGAGACUGGAAUUCCUGGUGUAGCGGUGGAAUGCGCAGAUAUCAGGAGGAACACCGGUGGCGAAGGCGGGUCUCUGGGCAGUAACUGACGCUGAGGAGCGAAAGCGUGGGGAGCGAACAGG